UACGGAGGGUGCAAGCGUUAAUCGGAAUUACUGGGCGUAAAGCGCACGUAGGUGGUUCGAUAAGUCGGAUGUGUAAGCCCCGGGCUUAACUUGGGAAUGGCAUUCGAUACUGUCGAGCUAGAGUAUGGUAGAGGAAAGCGGAAUUCCACAUGUAGCGGUGAAAUGCGUAGAUAUGUGGAGGAACAUCAGUGGCGAAGGCGGCUUUCUGGACUAAUACUGACACUGAGGUGCGAAAGCGUGGGGAGCAAACAGG
rnacentral:rRNA from 1 species